CUGAAGUCUGGGGUCAUUUGGUUUCUUUUUCUUCUUCUGUAAAUUGGAAAGCAGUGGGAAAAUUACAAAGUAUCUUUUUAAAACUCAGGUGGUUUGCAUAGCUAUUUGUCUGUUUGAGUUUGUUGUUCCUGUGAUUUAAAAGAUUGUCUCCACUUAACUGGAAAUAAGCCAAAUGUCUAUCAAUAGAGAACUGGUUGCAUCAACUCCUGCAUCUCCACACAAUGCAGUACUAUGAGCUGCAAAUGGAAAGCAGGAUGUUUCUAUAUUCAACUGUGGAAGGAUCUCCAGGAUAUACUGUUACAUUAAGAAAGAAGGGUGGAUGAGACGGAAAAGUUUGCCUGAUGUAAUGGAUCUAGGCGAUGAGUAUCCAUGGCUACCAACACGAGACAGACAACCAGAAAUGAUCCUGAGCUUCAGCUAUUGCUCCCUAACUGAGAAUGAGAUGCAAGAGAAGUCUCACUAGGAAAGGAGUCAGAGCUACGGGAAUUUUCAAGAGAACUUUAAAAAUUCUUCACUUAAAACUCUCUUUUUAAAAGAAAUCCUCGUGGAGCAUACCAACUACUGAAAUCAGAAAGACUUUUAUCAUUGCAAUUGUAACAAUAUUAAUUAUGCAUAGUUUAUUACUGUAUUAAGUGUAGGUGGAAUCUAUUUCAAGAAAACACAAUAAAGCCUAAACCAAAAUAAGCAAGCUAGGAGUCGACUGUUCAUAUUUCAAAAGGAUUCUCCAAUUUUAACAGGAUUCAUUGCUGUUUUUUUCACAAGCUUUAAUACCCCUGUGGUUUUAAAAAAAUCAUUUUAAAAAUUUAAUUUACACAUAAUUUUUCAGGAACUCAUCUAUUGUAUGAAAUGAUGCACAACUCUGCAUGUGUAUAGAUAAUGCUAUAAACAAAGGGCUCAUAAAAUUUUCCCAUAAAUUAUCUCAUUAGCUGGGACUAUACGAAUGAAUAUAAGCAUUGGUUAGAAUGCCUAAGAAGCCACUAGAAAAAAAAAAUUCUUGCAUUAUUUACUUUUUAUGAAUAUAUGUAAGUGCUCUACAUUGCUUAGUUCCUAGCAAAAACUAAGAACUCUAAUAUGCCCAUGAGGCCCUUCCCUGAUGACUCAUUUAUUAGAAAACUUUUCCUUAUAAACGAUACAAAAAUAAACUUCAGCUCACCUGGUAGAAUCACAGAAAAUUUGAAUUAGUAAAGUAAAACUUGAAGACCCAUAGGUAACAAAUACUUCAUGUUACCCACAGAGUCCCCAUGUCAGAACUGUCUGAUGUCACUGUCAGAGACACAGAAACCAGGGACCUAGACAGAGAAAGAAGUUCCAUGGUCCUAACCGCCGGGAUGCAACUGUGGUUUGGGAGUGGCAAAUGAGGGCUCUCAACUAACAUGAAUGUCUUGAAAACAACUAUCAAGUCUCAGAAAAGGAGAAUUUUGAAAUCAUAGUAUAUGUCCUUUGAACUACCUCCC
rnacentral:lncRNA from 1 species